AAGUCGUACGGAGAGUAGGGCAACUCACUCUCAGUGGCAAACGGGUGAGUAACGCGUGAAUAACCUGCCUUUGAGAAGGGGCUACCUGUCCGAAAGGAUAGCUAAUACCCUAUAUUGCCUUUUGUCACUAAGGCAAAAGGUGAAAGCGAGGCUGUCAAAGGCUUCGGCUCAAAGAGGGGUUCGCGUCCUAUCAGGUAGUUGGUGGGGUAAUGGCCUACCAAGCCAAUGACGGGUAGCUGGUCUUAGAGGAUGAUCAGCCACAGUGGGACUGAGACACGGUCCGCACCCCUACGGGGGGCAGCAGUGGGGAAUCGUGGGCAAUGGGCGCAAGCCUGACCCCGCAAUGCCGCGUGAGGGAAGAAGCCCUUCGGGGUGUAAACCUCUGUCAGAUGGGAAGAU
rnacentral:rRNA from 1 species